UGCGGGCAGCUAUGCCAGCGUUGUCUUCUGUUGCGUUGAUUUUCCCCACACGCACAACGCACUAUCGUUGACUACACUUGCACACACACACACACGCACGAAAGGAGAGACGUUAGACAGACACACACACACCCGCACUUGGCGACGCUUUUGUACACAUCGAGAACAAUGUUUAAUGAGCACUAAUUGUAAAUUAAUUGCAAUUGCAUUUGUAUGAUACAUUCGUUCAAUAAAAACUUUUAUAAACAGGCGGCGUCAAUAUCGAUCGUAA